rnacentral:rRNA from 1 species
UGCUUAACACAUGCAAGUCGAACGGAAAGGCCCUGCUUUUGUGGGGUGCUCGAGUGGCGAACGGGUGAGUAACACGUGAGUAACCUGCCCUUGACUUUGGGAUAACUUCAGGAAACUGGGGCUAAUACCGGAUAGGAGCUCCUGCUGCAUGGUGGGGGUUGGAAAGUUUCGGCGGUUGGGGAUGGACUCGCGGCUUAUCAGCUUGUUGGUGGGGUAGUGGCUUACCAAGGCUUUGACGGGUAGCCGGCCUGAGAGGGUGACCGGCCACAUUGGGACUGAGAUACGGCCCAGACUCCUACGGGAGGCAGCAGUGGGGAAUAUUGCACAAUGGGCGGAAGCCUGAUGCAGCAACGCCGCGUGCGGGAUGACGGCCUUCGGGUUGUAAACCGCUUUCGCCUGUGACGAAGCGUGAGUGACGGUAAUGGGUAAAGAAGCACCGGCUAACUACGUGCCAGCAGCCGCGGUGAUACGUAGGGUGCGAGCGUUGUCCGGAUUUAUUGGGCGUAAAGGGCUCGUAGGUGGUUGAUCGCGUCGGAAGUGUAAUCUUGGGGCUUAACCCUGAGCGUGCUUUCGAUACGGGUUGACUUGAGGAAGGUAGGGGAGAAUGGAAUUCCUGGUGGAGCGGUGGAAUGCGCAGAUAUCAGGAGGAACACCAGUGGCGAAGGCGGUUCUCUGGGCCUUUCCUGACGCUGAGGAGCGAAAGCGUGGGGAGCGAACAGGCUUAGAUACCCUGGUAGUCCACGCUGUAAACGGUGGGUACUAGGUGUGGGGUCCAUUCCACGGGUUCCGUGCCGUAGCUAACGCUUUAAGUACCCCGCCUGGGGAGUACGGCCGCAAGGCUAAAACUCAAAGGAAUUGACGGGGCCCCGCACAAGCGGCGGAGCAUGCGGAUUAAUUCGAUGCAACGCGUAGAACCUUACCUGGGUUUGACAUGGAUCGGGAGUGCUCAGAGAUGGGUGUGCCUCUUUUGGGGUCGGUUCACAGGUGGUGCAUGGCUGUCGUCAACUCGUGUCGUGAGAUGUUGGGUUAAGUCCCGCAACGAGCGCAACCCUUGUUCACUGUUGCCAGCACGUUAUGGUGGGGACUCAGUGGAGACCGCCGGGGUCAACUCGGAGGAAGGUGGGGAUGACGUCAAGUCAUCAUGCCCCUUAUGUCCAGGGCUUCACGCAUGCUACAAUGGCUGGUACAGAGAGUGGCGAGCCUGUGAGGGUGAGCGAAUCUCGGAAAGCCGGUCUCAGUUCGGAUUGGGGUCUGCAACUCGACCUCAUGAAGUCGGAGUCGCUAGUAAUCGCAGAUCAGCAACGCUGCGGUGAAUACGUUCCCGGGGCUUGUACACACCGCCCGUCAAGUCAUGAAAGUUGGUAACACCCGAAGCCGGUGGCCUAACCGUUGAGGGGGAGCCGUCGAAGGUGGGACUGGUGAUUAGGACUCA